rnacentral:rRNA from 1 species
UACGUAGGGUGCAAGCGUUACUCGGAAUUACUGGGCGUAAAGCGUGCGCAGGCGGCUUUGCAAGACAGAUGUGAAAUCCCCGGGCUUAACCUGGGAACUGCAUUUGUGACUGCAUUGCUGGAGUGCGGCAGAGGGGGAUGGAAUUCCGCGUGUAGCAGUGAAAUGCGUAGAUAUGCGGAGGAACACCGAUGGCGAAGGCAAUCCCCUGGGCCUGCACUGACGCUCAUGCACGAAAGCGUGGGGAGCAAACAGG